CAAUAUGCGGAGACAUUUCUGGUUGCCAUGACUUGGGGGAAGGGGCUACUGGCCUCUAGGGGGUGGGGGCCAGGGACGCUGCCACAUAUCCCACCGUGCAAGGAACAGCCCUGAUAACAAAGAAUCCUUGCCCAAAAUAGUGCUGCGGUUGAGAAACCCUGGGCCAGAGGUUCUGUAACCAUCUUGUGCCUGUGGAAGGAAGAAUCCGCAGCUGUUACAGGCCACUCAACGGAGCCUGAGAAUGGCCCCUCCCAGUGGAAGGCAGAGUCGAAGGAUGGAGAGAAGCCGAGUCCUGGGGACAUCAUCCGAGUCCUGGAUCCAGCUUUGCCUGAAGCUAACACCGCUCCUGGACUUUUCCAUUUUGUGGCCCAGUCAAUGACCGGCUUAAGGCUGUUUGAUGAAGUUUCUCUGCCACCUUUACCUCCUCACAGCAACGUGGUGAAAUAGACUGGCCUUGUGUCCCUCUCCCUCUCUCUGCUUGAUGGAUGGGCAGUCCCAGGCCAGAGAGCCUGUGUGACUUACCCAAGGUCACACAGCCAGCCCACAACAUGCAUCACACUGGUGUUUGUUCAGUAACCUCGUACAGGACGAACCUUAUUUUUAUAUUAAACACAGCUCCGUGGAGCAGAAUGCCAAAUUCACACUGAUUUUCAAGAUAAAAUAGAACACCUCAGAAACAGGGAUAGCGUUGGGACUAGAAUCCCGGCGCUCUGAUGUCCAGUUCAACAGGAUUCUGCACCCCAACCUCCCUCACCUUCAAAUGACCCAUGGGUGAUGACAAAAUCUUUCACACCCGUCUUCUCAGCCUUACGGCGAUCCUGCAGUCAAGGCUGUUGCUGGACCAAAGGCGGCCUGCUUCUUGGUGAGCUAGAGACCGAGACUAUGCUGGGCGGAGGUCACUGUAUUUGUACAAACAAGGAGAUCACUGGGGAAUGGUUUCCAGAGCUGGGACGCCCCGGCAGCAGUAAGGGCUUGAGAUGAAUAUUCAGAGGGGGGUUUUAACAUUCUAAUGAAGCUGAGGUCACUGUCAGGGAAUUUCUGAUUCAUCCGGCAGGCGUGGUCCUCGAACGUUUCUUCGUUUCUAAAAGAUGAUAAGCAACAGCUUCUAGGGCUUUUCUGAGUUUAGGAGGUCAGUCAGGGCAUCACUCCUGAGCUCAGGGGGUCAAGGGGUCACCGGUGACACGGCCUGGACGGGGACCUAAGAAACUCAGGCCCAGAAGAAUUUCAGCUGUGUGCCGCCCACUUACCUGCCCCAACUGCCCGGGAUGGUUGGAGGUGAAGGUGUAAGGCCUGACACCCGGCCCUGACAGAGAGAGAAAGAGAGCACGAACAGGGGAGGAGCAGAGAGAGAGGGAGACCCAGAAUUC